rnacentral:rRNA from 1 species
UACGUAGGGCGCAAGCGUUGUCCGGAAUUAUUGGGCAUAAAGAGCUCGUAGGCGGCUUGUCACGUCGGGUGUGAAAGACCGGGGCUUAACCCCGGUUCUGCAUUCGAUACGGGCUAGCUAGAGUGUGGUAGGGGAGAUCGGAAUUCCUGGUGUAGCGGUGAAAUGCGCAGAUAUCAGGAGGAACACCGGUGGCGAAGGCGGAUCUCUGGGCCAUUACUGACGCUGAGGAGCGAAAGCGUGGGGAGCGAACAGG